AAAAUUAGAGUGUUCAAACAGGCAGAUCCAAUUUUCUGCCACCGAAUACAUUAGCAUGGAUAAUGGAAUAGGACCCUGUCCUCCUAUUUUCAGUUGUUUGCCGCGAGGACCAGGGUAAUGAUUAAUAGGGAUAGUUGGGGGCAUUAAUAUUUAAUUGUCAGAGGUGAAAUUCUUGGAUUUAUGAAAGAUUAACUUCUGCGAAAGCAUCUGCCAAGGAUGUUUUCAUUAAUCAAGAACGAAAGUUAGGGGAUCGAAGACGAUCAGAUACCGUCGUAGUCUUAACCAUAAACGAUGCCGACCAGCGAUUAGGAGACGUUGAAUACAAAACACCACCAUGCGCAUUGCGGUCGUCUUUGGUGUGUCGCUCACAAGGCGGCAUCAUCGGGACGGCUUAGCUCGCAUGGCACCGGUGAA
rnacentral:rRNA from 1 species